rnacentral:lncRNA from 10 species
GGCGGGGGAAGGGAGGGGGAAGGGAGGGAGAGGGACCGAGGAGGGGAGAUAUCCCUCCGCAGAGCUGGGUCUGGCCGCGGGCGGGGAAGCAGGAAGUAAGGUGUCCAGCGCCGCGACCGGCUGGUCGUCCGCCUCGGCCCCCGCCCGCGUCCCCUUUCCCCCGGGGCGCAGCGCUACGGCGGGCGCGGGCCGCCCGGCGCAUUGUUCGCAGCCUUCGCGGCGGUGCGCUGCUGACUUUAUUUGUGCGCUUUGCGUGUGCGUGAGGUUGCACCUUUUGUAGGCUGGCGAGUCUCUGGACGAGGAUGGGACGGGGGACACGGGCCCAGUUGCGGCCCUGCGCGAGCGGGACCUGUCAGCCCUGAGGUGCAGCGGACCCUCCGGCAUGGCCGGAAAAUCGAGGCCGGGGAGAAGGCAGCGUGGCCGGGAAGCUGCCGCCUUAAACCCGGACCAGUGCAGGAUUGCUUCCUGCGUAGCCGUCCCGGUUAUUGUAACACGCUUUGCAAGCUAACGACUGGGAAUAAAGCCAAGUUGUGAUUUCGCCUCUACAGACCUCUCUACCCGCCCAGCUCUUCCUCGGAUAUUGUAAGCCCCGUCAAGCUUUCUUUGUUCAAGGGGUGGAGGAGGGGGCGCCUAACCUUUCCCCUUCCACCUCUUCUUACUAACUCCUGCUGGACCUUCAAGAUUUGACUCAACUGUCAGUAACUUCAAGAUGCCUUCCUGAGGGUACACCCAGGUCUCUACCUCAGGGGAAAAGACCUACCCUAGGUCUCCUGGCAGCAGCGCUGUGGCCGGAGUUGGCCCCAGUGGCGGCCUUUUUCCAAGCGGAGGAGGAACAGCCAAGCUAAGCUUGACCACCGUCACCGCCCAGGGACCUGAGCGGGAGCUGGCUAGGACAAAACCUCAAAACGGGACUUGGGAAAACCGCACCACCCAGAAAACUCAGCCCCUCCACCUCCCUCCCAGCACACACACACACCCUCUUAAUCUAAAACUCCUCCCCGGGGCAGAUAAGGAACCUAUUCGGAGAGUUAAGUUAAUUGCCCCAGGUCAAUGUGGAAAUUCACAGCCUGUCUUUCCAGCUCCUAAACCAGAAGCUGCAGAGAAGGAAGGAUUUGGGAUUUGCGGCUACACAGCCAAGGACGCUUUUGUCAUCUUCAAAGGACCCCCUACACCCUACACGCUUGGCCCGCUCUGUUCAUUGCCAACAGAGUGAUGGUUGAAUGCAUUCACAUGGUUCCAAAUUCAAAUAAACAGCAAGAAGUCUCCCUCCCACCCUGUCUGCCACCCACUUGGUUUUCCUUCUCUGGAGGCAACCUGGGUUAGUGGUCAGAAGAUGCAUUUAACUGUUUUCCAGCUGAGGCCUUGUGAGAACUCCUCGGACACCAAUUUAAAUCUUUAUGUCCAGAACUCCUUUCUCCAAUCCAGAGAUGAGGUUCCACCAUUCUUGCCCAGACUGGUUUCGAACUCCUGGACUCAAGCGAUUUGCCUGCCUCGGCCUCAAAAAGUGCUGGGAUUACAUGCAUGAGCCACCACACCCGGACCCUCUCUCUUAAAUAGUGGCCCUUUUGCCUCUCUGCAACACAGGAAAAAUUCUGUUAGCCUGCAUCAGAAGGAGUGGCAUGGAGGCUUUGGAGUUAAGAAGAUUUAAUUCAAAUUAUGUGUCCGGUGCCUGCCAGCAAUGAGACCUUGGUAAGGUUUCUUAACCUCUCUGAGCUGGGACCAUACCUUCUGCGUUGGUUUAAUAUAAAGGUUAAAUGCAUGUAAAUAAAUGACUUCUAAAAUAAAUAACAUUCUAAAAUGUUAGUAACAACUAAAUACAAUAUUUAGAUCUUGUGAGGAUUUGAUUUGAAUAAAUAAGAUUUUUUUAAAAGACAUUUUUGAGACAAAAUGUAGACUAUCUGAUAUUAAGAAAUUAAUCACUUUUUCAGAUAUGAUAAUGGCAUUGCAGUUUUUUUUAAGUUCUUAUCUAUUACAGAUACAUAAUGAGGCAUUUUGAGUGAAAAUAUAUCUAGGAUUUGCUUUCCAAUACUCCAUCCCCUCCCCAUCAAAACACUAAAUAAAUGAAACAAGAUUAGUGAAAUACGGAAAAUUGUUGAAGUUAUUCAUUAUUCCAUUUCCCAUAUGGAACUUUCCAUACUAGUUUCCCUACUGCUGUUGAAUAUUUGACAUGUUUCAAAUACAUUUGAAAUAAAUUUAUUGUCUGAGAUGAUCAGGUUGAAAAAUAAUAAAAUGAAAUAAAUUUAAAAGUAAAAUAAACAUAACCCUUUUAAGCAUUAAAAUUAAAAAUUAUGAGGCUUGUUGAAUUAUUACUGUUAUAAAUAAUUACAUACAUGUAUUUUUGAAACAGUCUUGCUCUUUCACCCAGGCUGCAGUGCAGUGGCAUAAUCACAGUUCACUGCGGCCUCAACCUCCCAGGCUCAGGUGAUCCUUGCACGUCUGCCUCCCAAGUAGCUGGGACUGCAGGUGUGCACCACCAUGCCUGGCUAAAUUUUUCUCUUUUGUAGAGACGGGUUUUGCGAUUUUGCCCACACUGGUCUUAAAGUCCUGGG